AUUGAACGCUGGCGGCAGGCCUAACACAUGCAAGUCGAGCGAGCGACGGACGGGUGAGUAAUGCCUGGGAAUUGCCCAGUCGAGGGGGAUAACAGUUAGAAACGACUACUAAUACCGAAUACGAUUGAAUUACCCAGGUGGGAGUAGCAAUUUGGUGAGGAAAUGGCUCACCAAGGCGACGAUCCCUCGCUGGUCUGGGAGGAUGAUCAGCCACACUGGAACUGAGACACGGUCCAUACUCCUACGGGAGGCAGCAGUGGGGAAUAUUGCACAAUGGGCGAAACCCUGAUGCAGCCAUGCCGCGUGUGUGAAGAAGGCCUUCGGGUUGUAAAGUACUUUCAGCGAGGAGGCGUUACUCGCAGAAGAAGCACCGGCUAACUCCGUGCCAGCAGCCGCGGUAAUAC
rnacentral:rRNA from 1 species